CUACGGGUGGCUGCAGUGAGGAAUAUUGGUCAAUGGACGCAAGUCUGAACCAGCCAUGUCGCGUGAAGGAUGACUGCCCUAUGGGUUGUAAACUUCUUUUAUAUGGGAAGAAUAUGAUUACGAGUAAUCAAAUGCCGGUACCAUAUGAAUAAGCAUCGGCUAACUCCGUGCCAGCAGCCGCGGUAAUACGGAGGAUGCAAGCGUUAUCCGGAUUUAUUGGGUUUAAAGGGUGUGUAGGUGGGCCUUUAAGUCAGUGGUGAAAUCCUGCAGCUCAACUGUAGAACUGCCAUUGAAACUGAAGGUCUUGAGUAUAGACGAGGUAGGCGGAAUGAGUUAUGUAGCGGUGAAAUGCAUAGAUAUAACUCAGAACACCGAUUGCGAAGGCAGCUUACUAGACUAUUACUGACACUGAUGCACGAAAGCGUGGGUAGCGAACAGGAUUAGAUACCCGCGUAGUC
rnacentral:rRNA from 1 species